rnacentral:rRNA from 1 species
AGCGAACGUUAAGCGGCGCGCCUAACACAUGCAAGUCGCACGAGAAACGGAGCAAUCCGCGGUACAGUGGCGCACGGGUGAGUAACACGUGGAUGACCUUCCCUGGAGUGGUGGAUAACCUGCCGAAAGGCGGGCUAAUACAGCAUGGGACCACGACGCUUUGGCGAUGUGGUGAAAGCGGGCCUCUAUAUAUAAGCUCGCGCUCCGGGACGGGUCCGCGUCCCAUCAGCUAGUUGGUGAGGUAAUGGCUCACCAAGGCUUCGACGGGUAGCUGGUCUGAGAGGAUGGCCAGCCACACUGGAACUGAGACACGGUCCAGACUCCUACGGGAGGCAGCAGUGGGGAAUCUUGCGCAAUGGGCGAAAGCCUGACGCAGCGACGCCGCGUGGGCGAAGAAGGCCUUCGGGUUGUAAAGCCCUGUGGGGAGAACGAACCGUACGGGGGCGAAUACCCUCCGUGCCUGACGGUACUCCUUUAGCAAGCAUCGGCUAACUCUGUG